AGAAGAUUAAUGUACAUGAGUUUCAAUAAUAUAUAAUCUAAUUACAAAUAUUAAUUGUUACAGUUAUAAUCCAACAAAAAGCAGAUGCUUCAAAGACGUGGCAUGCGCUUAUUUUAAUCUGGUAAAAGGACUGAAUGGACUUACGGUGGAAGUGAAAAUUGAUACGUAUCAAAAAUUUAAUCAUAUGGUGGACCAGCGAAAGCUAUAUUGCAUCAGACUUUUGAACUUUGAGGCUGACUGGCCGAUGAUUGGCCCCCACCAAAAUUCAUAAGCCUGAUCAGUGGUAAUGACGAUGAUGUUAUGAGUACAAAUGAUUUGAUGCGUGGUUUACGGUGUAGAAAAAAGUAGCCCACCUUAUCUUGUGUUUGUCGUAUAAUUACUGGACAUCAUAUGAAUGAAAGUGUGAGUUGGCUGUCACCGGCAUGCGUAGUGAAAGAUUGAAAUUGCAAUUGAAGCGAAUCAAUUGCUAUGGCCUCCCAUUGCAGGUUAAAGAAGUUGGAUUCAGAGUUGAAGAAAAUGAGAGCACUUGAUUCAAUGUUUUUUAAAAACCAAAUUCAGGCUAGGUAAAAUGGUAAAUUGUUGAAUGUAAGGCUAAGGUGAUUAUUCAUCAUUACAAUGUAUGAUGAGCAAUGAGUAUUAUCUGCGGUUUACAUUUGAGAGUGUGAUACACUAAUCAAAUGAUAAUUAAUUCAUAUUUCAAUGAACGGUUGUCGCGAUACCUAUAUUAAGAGAAAUUAGUUAUUAUUUAUAAAGUAAUGCACGUAACUCUCAUGUGUAAUGGAUAAGACAAUGAGAAUCUUAUUUCAUUUUCUUUGUCAAUUAUCCUAUAAUUAUGUGGAGGAAAAAAGAAGAAGAAGAAAUGAAGCAUAUCAUUCUUUGGUCAAGUGGUGGGCACCUCUUUACAUAAUUCCUGAAGCAUGAGUGUUUAAGUUAUAUUAUGUGCUUUGUGAACGUUGAUUUUCUUUGAAAUAUUUAAAACUCUAUUUUACAGUUAAAUGUUUAGAUUUUACUAACACAGAGAUACUUUUGGAGAUUUCAAAAAAAUUUCUAAUUGUAUGUAAGUAAAAUGAGUGGUUAUGUGGCUUCCUUCUCGCCCUUUUGUGUAAACACACCCGACCUAAAAAAAAACAUAAAAAAAUUCACAAUAUUUAUUGGAAAAACAAAUCAAAAGUGGAAAAGAAGAAGGGCAACAAUACAAAUGCGGUUGGUGGAUUUAUUAUUAUCAUCAUCACCCACAACAUAAAUAUCGAAUUCUAAAAGCCAUCCAUAUGUAUUAAUAGCAUAAAUAGAGUGUUAAGUAGGGUGGGCUAAAAGAGUCAAUCCAGUCCCACAGAAUU
rnacentral:lncRNA from 1 species